rnacentral:lncRNA from 1 species
AUUCUUCUUUGGGAAUGUCUGUCGAUUUUUGGUGGGCACUAUCGGUCGAUGUGUCUUUGUGAGUUUCGAUCGACACCGAGUAUUCUGUCUCGCACUCAGCUCCACAGUGGCAUGCUGCGAUGAGUCAUGGAUCAUCAAUUCUUCUGGAGGACGUCUGUGGCUUCUUGACUGGAAUAGGAUUGUAGUGGACAUAAGGAUCUAUGAGCGACAGGCACAACUGGUUGGUUUGCAAGUUGCACACUGCUCCUAUUGUCGACAAGAAAACUCUCCCAAGUAAUAGAGAUUCCAGUUUAGCUUGAUAUCCAAGACAUGGAAAUCAACUGGAACUAGGGCAUUACCACUC